GGCCUCAGGGCCAUCUGAAUGGACAAGCAUUUAUCUGGUGUGACACUGGACGAAGACAACAAUUCUGCUUCUCCAUGGUUCUGAAUGGGGAGACAUCAAAAUCAACACCCAGGUUUGACUGACAGAACCCGCUCCAGCAAAGAUAAAUGCACUUUAGUUAUUUAUAUAAUCUUACAGAAUAAUGUUUGGGUUGGAAUGAAUGAAGGGAAAGGCAAUGAAGUAGUAUUUAGAGAAAAGUAAGCAGGAGUGUUAAACUGAUAAAAGCACUUCCUGGGUACAUGACCUGUACACCCUUGUCCCAACUGUUGCAUUGAUACAAGUUGUACCUCCCGUACAUCAAGGCAUCUGUUUGCUCACAGGAAUGACUGCAUUUUGGAGAGACAAGUUGUCCGUUUUUCUACACACAAAAGCCCCCCACCAACGACUUAGCUUUCAAACAUAAGACAUGAGCAGAUAAUAAGUUAUCCAAGCAUGUAGCUCUUGAAACCGCUCUCUUCAAUACUGAAUACAUGCUUGUGUUUGAGACUGCAAAAAAAAGAAGUAAUAUUUUAAAAAUUCACAUAAAUCAAGGAAGUUGACUUGUGAUAGCGAGCUCAUACUGUUCAAAACAAGGAGAAAUAAAACAGUCCAACAGACAGAGGAAUGAGAGAAACACUCCCAUUAUUUACAUAAUCUGCUCAAGGACAACCCUCUCUCUGGAUUGGCCCGAGUUAUUCACAGGAAUGCAUCCGAGAGCCAACCAGAGGAACGUUUGAGCAUUCUUUAAAUAUGCAACCUAAGUUAACAUAACAUACAAUAAUAAUGUGUUAAUAUACACAUUUCGUUAGAGAUUAAAGACUAACAUUAGUGGAACAGCAAUGUUGAGUUUUUGCAUAAAUCCAUUGUAAUGGUUUUGUAAAUUUAACCACAGGUAGCCAUUUUGGUUCAACAUAACUGUCAUCAAGUGCAUGAGGCUCAUUACUACAUUAAUGUUCCUUCAAGUAUGGUGGUUUACAGAGUGAAACUAGAAAAUAUCUACAUGAUGCAUGUUGGUAUGACACAGUCGGCAUAUUCAAAUGGUAAAAUGUCCUGCCCUUUCCUGAUGGUUUCACAUACUAGACAGACUGUUGCAUGGUGCUUAUUCAGUAAGGACAAGAGUCCCUAGAGAAUUGAACUGUGACGAUAGAGAACAGUCUCUUUUCUAUUCAUUGCAUUUCUAUCUAUAACACUAAGUGCGUUACAGAUGUGCUCUACUGAAUGAGCCCCAGUUGUCCAAAACCCAGAUUGAAAUGAAACUGCACCUGCUAUUAAGGAUGGGAACAAAAACACAUACAACCAGCAGCUUUGCUGCAUGCUUGGACCCCUAAUAAGAGAUUAGUUGGUCCUAGUUCAAUUUUCCAGUUCAAGUUUAAACAUAGUUCAAAACACAUAAAAACCUUGGAUUAAGGAGUUGUUUUCCAGACAGAUAACACUCAUACACCAAUGGUUGUUAUAGUCCUUUUUCCCCUCUCUUCGGGUUGGCUCAUUCUUGAUAACCACAGAACUUUCGGAGAUGGCUCUCGUAGGAGUAGGUCUACAUGCAAGCUUGAGCGUUAGCUGCAGGCACCGUCUUCUCAUCUAACAUCUACUCAAUGAGACUUUCUAAAGUGCUUGUCAAUGAAGAUUAUGUAAUUAUCCUAUUUGUUUGACUUCAGAUCGACCGCAUCAACUUUGCAGAUGUUUUUUAUGAAUUCGUUCUACUAAGCCUUCUAGAAGGAAAGACAUCUCUUCCUAUAUCUGUAAGUGGCCCUAAGAAUGGAACAUCCUGUUGUUUAUCUAUGCUAUACACACUGUUGUCAUAUCAGAUCUGUAGACACUCACUCAUGUCCCCUGUUCCUUCUCCAGGAGCCUGGUAGCUUCCUUUAUCUGCUCCUGCAAGUCAUAAUGAGGAUUGACCCUCCUGGAGGAGCCUGGACAGAGGCUGCUGAGAACUUCUACCUCCUCGUUAAGGGCCAGAUGAAGGCAUGGCUACAAUCCAUCUUCAACCUCAAUGAGUCAAUCUAUGAAAGCCCAGAGAGGCUCUCGGGGGAGGUGAUGCGGAAUCUAGAAAUACAGGUUGAGUUCCUGCUGUCCAGCCUGGAUUAAGGUUCCCAAACUGAGCUGAGGGCCCCAUCACAAAAUAAAGUGUUUUGCAUUUAAA